UACGUAGGGUGCAAGCGUUGUCCGGAAUUAUUGGGCGUAAAGAGCUCGUAGGCGGUUAGUCGCGUCUGCUGUGAAAACUCGGGGCUUAACUCCGGGCCUGCAGUGGGUACGGGCUGACUAGAGUGCGGUGGGGGAGACUGGAAUUCCUGGUGUAGCGGUGAAAUGCGCAGAUAUCAGGAGGAACACCGGUGGCGAAGGCGGGUCUCUGGGCAAUAACUGACGCUGAGGAGCGAAAGCGUGGGGAGCGAACAGG
rnacentral:rRNA from 1 species